UACGUAGGGUGCGAGCGUUGUCCGGAAUUAUUGGGCGUAAAGGGCGCGUAGGCGGUUUGUCGCGUCGGGAGUGAAAACACCGGGCUUAACUCGGUGCUGGCUUUCGAUACGGGCAGACUAGAGGUAUUCAGGGGAGAACGGAAUUCCUGGUGUAGCGGUGAAAUGCGCAGAUAUCAGGAGGAACACCGGUGGCGAAGGCGGUUCUCUGGGAAUGUCCUGACGCUGAGGAGCGAAAGUGUGGGGAGCGAACAGG
rnacentral:rRNA from 1 species